rnacentral:tRNA from 1 species
CAUUAGAUGACUGAAAUUAAGUUAUGGAAUUUUAAACCAUUAUAUAGUAUAAUAUUACUUCUAAUGA